GCCAGCUUAUGUACUUUCUCUGUGUUGUGGCUGUCCUUUGGAUUCCCCCAAAUUGUUUCUGCCAUGGUCCAUGCUGCUAAAGGGUGUUGUAGGGUUGAACGCUUCACUUUGUCUAUGAUUUUGGCAUAUCCGAAGGACAGUUCAUCUUCUCCACAGAAGACAGCUGAGGAGCGUUCUUGUUAUUGAUUGAUCUUCCUUGAAAUGCCACCUGAUGCGGGAGGCUUCAUGUGGCAGCUUGAGUGCAACUUUCUAGGGCCUGUGUCAAACCAGCCCACCAGCUGCCCACAGCUUGGUGAGCUUAGCACCAAAAUAAAGAAGAUGAUGAUGAAGCAGAAGCACUCAGCCAGGUUUUCUUAAUCUUUUGGAAGGAGCAUGCAGAUACUAGGAAAGCUACCAAUCUCCACCAAGGUCCCAUGAACUAUAAAAGGUAGAAAUAUGGACAAGCUGUGAACUAAAUAAUUGGGAUCUACAUAUGUAACAUGUUCAAAGGCAAUAAAAAAAAAACAUGCACAAAGCUUGCUGAAAAAAACCUUUGAGCACUCACUCAGGUAAGAUCAAGACUAUCAAGGCACGCGCACAAACAAAAAAGAA